rnacentral:rRNA from 1 species
ACACCACAACAGGUGGAGCCUGCGGUUUAAUCGGACUCAACGCCGGGAAACUCACCAGAUAAGACAGCUGAAUGAUAGUCGGGCUGAAGACUCUACUUGACUAGCUGAGAGGAGGUGCAUAGCCGUCGUCAGUUCGUACUGUGAAGCAUCCUGUUAAGUCAGGCAACGAGCGAGACCCACGCCAACAGUUGCCAGCAUGUCCUCCGGGAUGAUGGGGACACUGUUGGGACCGCUCUGCUAAAGAGGAGGAAGGAAUGGGCAACGGUAGGUCAGCAUGCCCCGAAUUAUCCGGGCUACACGCGGGCUACAAUGGUCAGGACAAUGGGUAUCGACACCGAGAGGUGGAGGCAAUCUCCUAAACCUGUCCUUAGUUCGGAUUGUGGGCUGCAACUCGCCCACAUGAAGCUGGAAUCCGUAGUAAUCGCGUUUCAAAAUAGCGCGGUGAAUAUGUCCCUGCUCCUU